AGAGUUUGAUCCCGGCUCAGAACGAACGCUGGCGGCGUGCUUUACACAUGCAAGUCGAGCGAGAAAGGGUUUUCGAACCUGAGUAAAGCGGCGAACGGGUGAGUAACACGUAGGUAACCUGUCCGGUACUUUGGGAUAACAGCGCGAAAGCGUUGCUAAUACCAGGUAAGUCUGAUUAGCACAAGUUAAUUAGAGAAAGUGGGUUCCGAUAAAGCGGACCACGGUACCGGAGGGGCCUGCGGCCUAUCAGCUUGAUGGUGAGGUAAUGGCUCACCAUGGCAAGGACGGGUAGCCGGUCUGAGAGGAUGAACGGCCACACUGGGACUGAGAUACGGCCCAGACUCCUACGGGAGGCAGCAGUGGGGAAUAUUGCGCAAUGGGGGAAACCCUGACGCAGCGACGCCGUGUGAGUGAGGAAGGUUUUCGAACUGUAAAGCUCUGUCAGGCAGGAAGAAGUCUCUGUAUGAAGAUAUAGAGGUGACGGUACUGCCAGAGGAAGCACCGGCUAACUCCGUGCCAGCAGCCGCGGUAAUACGGAGGGUGCGAGCGUUGUUCGGAUUUACUGGGCGUAAAGGGCAAGUAGGCGGCUAUAUAAGAUCAGUGUAGAAGACCGGGGCUCAACCCCGGGAAUGCGUUGGUGACUGUAUAGCUUGAGUGAUGCAGGGGUUUGCGGAAUUCCCGGUGUAGAGGUGAAAUUCGUAGAUAUCGGGAGGAACACCAGUGGCGAAGGCGGCAAACUGGGCAUCAACUGACGCUGAGGUGCGAAAGCGUGGGUAGCAAACAGGAUUAGAUACCCUGGUAGUCCACGCCGUAAACGAUGGAUACUAGAUGUAUGUCUAAAUAAGGAUGUGUAUCGUAGCAAACGCAAUAAGUAUCCCGCCUGGGGAGUACGAUCGCAAGAUUAAAACUCAAAGGAAUUGACGGGGGCCCGCACAAGCGGUGGAGCAUGUGGUUUAAUUCGAGGCAACGCGAAGAACCUUACCUGGGUUUGACAUAUAUUGGCCGUAGCAGAUAUGAGAGUAUCUGCAAGUUUACCGUAAGGUAAACGCUGAUAAACAGGUGCUGCAUGGCUGUCGUCAGCUCGUGUUGUGAGAUGUUGGGUUAAGUCCCGCAACGAGCGCAACCCCUGUCGUCAGUUGCUAACAGGUUAAGCUGAGCACUCUGGCGAGACCGCCGGUGAAAAUCGGAGGAAGGUGGGGAUGACGUCAAGUCCUCAUGGCCUUAAUGCCCAGGGCUACACACGUGCUACAAUGGCUGUUACAGAGGGCAGCGAACCAGCGAUGGUAAGCGAAUCCCAAAAAGGCAGUCCAAGUUCGGAUUGGAGUCUGCAACUCGACUCCAUGAAGGUGGAAUCGCUAGUAAUCGUGGAUCAGCAUGCCACGGUGAAUACGUUCCCGGGCCUUGUACACACCGCCCGUCUCACCAUGGAAGCUGGCUGGACCGGAAGUUUUGAAUCUAACCAUUUAUGGAGGAUAGGAACGAUGGUCUGGUUAGUGACUGGGGUGAAGUCGAAACAAGGUA
rnacentral:rRNA from 1 species